rnacentral:lncRNA from 1 species
CCUGGUUGCAGUGUUGCUCAGCAGGUUGUCUCUCGUGGCACUGAAUUCAUAUUUCAAGAAAGGUCAGGAGAUUGAGCUUGUAGGUAACAUGAUAUUGUAUGUUGAUUUCACUAAUGACUGCCUGCAUCUGAUUAUUGGCUACUUCAGGCUGAGUGCUCCGUUGUCCAUGCUUUGCUCUGUGGUAUAGAUCCAUCAGUGAUGACAUAACGUCUCCUUGGUGCCUGAGGUUAGAAGAUAUCUGUCCUUGGAAGACUGUUUCAUGAACAAAUGCCAGGAGAAUACUGUGUGUAUGGCAUAGCCAUCAGAUCAUGUAAUAUUCAUGUCUCAUCCGAGUUGCGUGUUUUACUUCUCUAAAACAGAAAGUGAUCCAAAAUGAGAGACUGAAAAAAGAGACUAAUAUCCAGAAGAAUGACUUUGGAUAUGGAAGAGUCAUAUCACUUAUUCAGACUUGUAAAACCUCGAGAGCUGACAGUGAGCAAGAACUAUCCUGGUUUUCUAAAGAAUGUUCCAGAUUGCAUGAAAGGAUUUUGGUGUAAGGUUCUGGUAAGUACUUCUGCAUUCAAAGGCAGCAUAUCUGAGAAGCUGAUGGAGAGUGCAUUAUUUGUGGCCAUUGCUAACUUCUCAAAAGACAGAACUCAAAAUGGUGGGCAAAUCUGCAGCAGCUCAUUCAUGUUUUUAAAUCUGCUUUGUGAAAUGUAUUCUUGUGAAGAAAAAAAGGAAUGUUAAUAUAGUAAAAUAUAAUGGUGGUAAGCUUUUUUUUUUGGUUAUCAUUCAAUUCUUUGCAUAGAUAUAAGAAGCUAUAUUAAGAAAAAUAUAUGUGACAUACAGUUCGUAGAAAAAAAUUAAAGAAGUGAGUACAAAUCAUUAUUCUGGGAUGUUAAAGUAGGAUAUGAAAUAGUAGGUGGCAAAAGGAACAGCGAUGAUCAAUUCAUUUUGCCACUGAAGCGAACAAAAUAGCAAAGAGACAGCAGGGCCACUGAAAGGAUAGAACUUUGACAUAACAGAGGGCCAAAAUGAAUUCUUCACCCUAAUGAUUAUGGACUGCGGAGAUGGUAGUAUUCCAG